GGGACUGUAGUUCAGUUGGGAGAAUGUUGCAAUGGCAUUGCAAAGGUCGUGGGUUCGAAUCCCAUCAGUUCCACCA
rnacentral:tRNA from 2 species